ACACUGCCGAUGAGUCCCAUAAUAGGACGAAACGGCCGUCCAGUGC
rnacentral:hammerhead_ribozyme from 1 species